UACAGAGGGUGCAAACGUUGUUCGGAAUUACUGGGCGUAAAGCGUGCGUAGACGGUUAUGUAAGUCGGGUGUGAAAGCCCCGGGCUCAACCUGGGAAUGCCAUUCGAGACUGCAUAGCUAGGGUGCGGAAGAGGGAAGCGGAAUUUCCGGUGUAGCGGUGAAAUGCGUAGAUAUCGGAAGGAACACCAGUGGCGAAAGCGGCUUCCUGGUCCAGCACCGACGUUCAGGCACGAAAGCGUGGGGAGCAAACAGG
rnacentral:rRNA from 1 species